UUCACUAAAAAUGUAUUUGAAUAAAAGUACCCAUUUUUAAAUAUACACAAAGUAUUAGUUACUCAAGUAAAUAAGUAACUAAGUACCCACCUCUGUUCUCCCUCCAGCCCUGAUCGUCAGCCGAUCACCUGGAACAAAUUGACGAGGAAAUUCCCGCUCCGCUGGGAGGCCCAGAAGGGACAACGUAUGUUCUCAACGUCAUGCACAACGUCAGUCCCUUCUGGGCUCAGUUCACAACGUACCGGGAACUGGACACCCAGGCAGCCAACGGACCCUCUCGCUCCUCCAAGCUCGGUACUGGUGGCCCAGUAUGUUCUGUGUUUGGAGGGCCUUCUUCAGGCUGUUAGGGGUCACGGUGAGCUUGUCCUCCGGCUACCAUCCCCAGACGAACAGCCAGACUAAGCAUAAGAUCCAAGAACUCGGGCGUUACCUCCGGGCAUAAUGUCAAGAUGACCAAAACAGCUGGAGCCGCUACCUCCCUUGGGCUGAGUAUGCACAGAAGAGCCAUAGACUAGCUGUAGACUACUGGUUACGAGCGAGCGAGAGAGUGUGGGAUUUCACUCACGUUCACCUUCAACGUACGGUUCUCCUCCACUCCCACGUACCAUCCUGGAGAAAAGGUAUGGCUGUCCACCCGGGAUCUGCGCCUCCACCUGCCCUGCAAGAAGCUAAGUCCCCGUUACAUCGGUCCGUUCGAGAUACAGAGGCAGAUAAAUGAGGUCACCUAUCAACUCCAACUGCCACCCAGGUACAGAAUUCACCCCACCUUUCACAUGUCCCUCCUUAAUUGGUAGAGCACUAUGUCACAUCAAUGUCAUGUUCAACUAGGCACAUUGGAAAACAAGUUAGGAAAAUACUUCACUAACUGCAGAAUGUCAGUUCUCUCGGAUAGAGAGAGAUGUGAUAAGUGAUGGUCCAAAUUUGUAAACAUCUCAGAAUUAUUCAAUCGUCCUUCAAUAAUGCCUCGAGAAGGAAAACGAACCCCAUCAUCCCGGAGGUAAUCAUAGGAAGAACUCUUCUGAGAGGAACUCUUCAUUCCCAGUCAACUGGGAAGAGUCACCUGUUACUGGGGUUACUGAUACAACAGAAGAGGUGGAAGGAAAAUAGGGUUUUAGGAGAUUUACAUGACAAACCUGUACUUCCUUUAUGUUGUUCCGGUGUUUUCAAAAGAUAAUUCUGUCCAGGGAGACAUUUAAGAACAGGAUAAGGUCCUGCAAGUGAGCUUGAAAAGGGUUACUUACAAGAGGCAACAAAGCUAAUACUUCGUCUCCAAUCUGAAAAUUCAGAGACACCGCUCGUCUAUUAAACAACUGGUCCAUCUUAUUCUUCCUCUGGCAACAUGAUCUCACAGAAUUCCGUGUAAUGUUCACAGACUUAAUUAACCCUGAAUCUGUGGUGGCAUCACGGAAUCGCCGAAAAUUCCGUGAUGGGCUCACAGAAAAAAUUCCGUGAUGGGCUUACAGAAGUGAUACCAAUGUAAGUCAGUGACAGGCAUCAGCCGUGCUCCACGCACGGAAACCCUUAGCAUCAAUAUGGGAAAUUUAUCAUCAUCAUUAUGAUUUAGAUGAUUCUAAAAUGGUUUUGUCUGUUGAAGUCAUACCAAGUGAGUCACCUUCAAUUUUGUCACCAUCAGACUGAUGCAUUAGAACAAAACCACUCUCGUUCUCAUUCUCAGAAUGAAUGGGUAUGAUUUGUCCCACGUUUACCUCACCAACAGUAGAUAAUGAAGCUCCAUCCUCACACAGUCUAUCAAUUUUAAGCUGUUUUUCCUUGGCUCGGGUGACAGCACAGGAAGGAAACACAUGGAGAAAUUUCUGACCACAUUCGUCUGGAAUGUUGGCCAGCACAGGUGAGGAAACUACUACAUAGAUGGUGCAGAUUUUCCCCAAACAUUACCCUGAGCAACAUUGUUUCCUCAAAUAAAAGCAAUGCUUGGAACAGGAAGGGAAGAUCAUACUCCAACAGUCAGCUCGCCAUUUACAAGAUCAGAUUUAAGAUGUAUCUUGUGCAAGGGGACUUUUAGAAAGGUUAUUUCAAUACAUCCUUCCCUGUUGGAAGUUUGGUCUGAUAGUGAAAGAACUCCCUCUAACAAGAAAGAUUGAGAAGCCCCCGUAUCUCUCAAGAUCUUCACAGGAACCUCUCCUGCCCUGGCAGAGACACCAUGCCAGUAGUAAUAAAUGGGGCAUAUUCUGCAUAGUUCUCAACAUCUACUGUUUUUGAAAUCACAUCCUUAACCUCAGCAUUUCGCUCGGGAACCUCAAUAUUAACAACAUCCCAUGGCUCCAGCCCAAUUAAGCCAACUGUUUUAGACUUCUUAAAAUCAGUACAUUCAGAGAUUUUGUGUCCUACUUUGUCAAUAAAAACAGACUACUUUACCUUUCUUAUCUGCUGAAAUACUGACUCACUGGGUGCACAUUAGAAAUAGUGCCAGAUGUCGUCACUGUUUUUUCGAUUUCGAAAAAAAAAAAAAAUUAUUCUGAUCAUUUGACCCUCUUCCAGGGAAAGAAACUCUGUGAGUUAAUACAAAUUAAUCAGCCAAUACAGCCGCAUCAUCUAAGGUAAGGGUGUUUUGCUCAUUCAAGUAAGUAGACUCAGAUCCAGGUACACAAUUUUUUAACUCCUUUAUUAGAAUUAAUUCCCUUAACUGGUUCAAGGUUUCUACUUUCUGAGACUGACACCACCUUGUAAACAUUAUCUCUUUUCCUGUGCAAAUUCCACAUAAGUUUGUUUUUAAAGUGUUUUGUAACCCCGGAAUCGUUGGCGAUAAGCCUUGGGUACCAGCUCAUAUGCUCUUAAAAUAGCGAUCUUGAUCUUUUUCAAAUCUACACUCUCCUCCUCAGAAAGGAAAUCCGAAAGAGAAAAAAAAUAUCCUUAAAGAAACACACAAAUUCAAAAUCCUGGACAAGCCCCCAAUUUUAUGUUACGGCUGGCUCGUAAGCUGCAACACUAAAGAGGCAAAACACAAAAUUCCAUACAUAAAUCAGUUGAGGAACGCACCAUGCUACCACUGUAGGCCAACAGAAUUGUUGUGUUUGCAAAUGCAGAAGUGUUGAGUUCCAAUCGAAAAGAGAAAUCAAAUGUCAGAAUUUCUGAUUAAUUCUUGUAACAUAUGCUUACAGUUUUUUUUUUUUUUUUUUUUUCAGUUGCUAACAUCCUUUUGUCCAAUCUCUAGUCACAUUUUCAAAACUCUAAACACAAUUAGCACAACAUCUGUUGUGACCAUACCAUUAAGACAAUUUAUGUUGUUUUCACACAAUAUUACCAUGUUUCUAAAAUGCUUACAUUUUCUUUUCAUACAAGCUUACCCAAAACCAAAAUAAUGGAUAUUUUUAGUCUUAUUUACAAAUAUUUAAACGCUGCGUGUCAGAAAUGAAGACCGAAUUGUUCCAAACCUUAAAUAUAGUAUAAAGCUUCUACUUCUGCAACAACAGCAUCUCAAAUGUAUUGAAAAAAUCUCUCUACAUAAAAUAACAACUGAUAAGCAUUAUCAGCAUAAGUAGAAAUAGCUGAUUCCAGUCUUAGUUGGAGGAAUAGUGGGGUGUCGAAGCUCUUUCCAUUACAUCAACAACAUAGAGUAAAAAAACUAAACAAAAAAACAAAAAAACACCUAUUUGAAUUGGUUUUGUGGAUGCAGAACAACACAAAGAAUCAGAGAGAGAAAAAAAUAAUGCCUGGGAGAGAGAGAGGAAUAGUUGUAGGAGGGAGAGGAGUUGUCACCAUCACUAGCUGGAGUGCCCACGAGCUCCGCUAGAGGGCACUCCGUCCAACCUGUAUUUGUCCAUUCACUCAGGACUCCAUUUCCCAUAAUCCUUUGCCCGGACUCAUCUGCACUCAUUACCAGUUCACAGCUGCACAGUAAAAUCAGCAGUGUAAUAUUUGCAGUGUUAAAAGUUAUUAAUUCCCAAAGAGUUGAAUUAACAAUCUACAGUGUUAAACAGUGGUGUUCAGUGUUGUCACACGGUGUAAUAUUUAUGUAAUUUCACUUUUACACUGAAAGUGUAAAAAAAAAAAAACCCGCCGAAUUGAUCUGACUCCGCCCCUCAACCACCGCUGCCUCAAAGCGACGACGCCAUUUUAUCUUCAUGCGACCGAGACGGUAAGAUGGAUUGCUUUUCUCUUUAUAAAAUUACACGGGAUAAAUACUUUUUGUUGAUAAUUUUACUCAAAAUAUGAUUGGUGGUGAACACAUUUAGAAAUUACUAACUGCAAGUGUUUUUGUCAGGUUUACGGUGUUAUGUUCGUGAGGUGUAGAGAUGCAACGUUAGCCUACAGAAGAGUGAAAGUUUCUAAUGCGGGCUCGAUUUCCUGAAAUAAGAUCCUCUGGUCUCUAUUCCCGCCGAGGCCUGGUUUUACUACGAGUCUGAAGCAGACACAUUUGGGCGGUUUUCUACUCGGAGGAGAGAAUUCAUCAAAUGGAAGCCAAGUUCCUGCCUUUUCCCAAGACCUUCAAGGACACGAUUGACCUCGGAAUCAGCUGUAAAGGAGGAUGAAACCGAUGUUUAAGAAUGGGACAGCGAUAUUGCAUCAAUGUGUCUCCUUCAUUUGGUUCCACCAUCACCACAAGGCUGCAAGGGACCUGGAGAAAUGUCCUCCUAUCAAGCUGAAAAACAUCUUCAAAAAGGCACUACCCAGAAGAAUACCUUGAUUGCAUAGAAGAGACCACACAGCCAUACCUGCUCGCUGAUGGGACAACGAGGAACCGUGUUCAUGGAUGCUACACAACUGUCGACAAGUAUCUUGCUGCAGUCUUGUUCAAAUCUACCUGUCAUAUUUGUUAAUGUCUAGGUAAAUUUGAUGAUUUUAUGUUUUAUCAACUAUUUUGUUUCCGUGCAACACUUAAUGAAUGUGACUGACUAACUAACCUCUACACAUCUGGUAUAUGCUUUAAAGUUGCCACUUUGCCCAUUUGUUAAAUAAACGU